rnacentral:rRNA from 1 species
UUCGGAUUAGCUAGUGGUGGGGUAAGAGCCUACCAAGGCGACGAUCCGUAGCUGUCUGAGAGAUGACAGCCACACUGGGACUGAGACACGACCAGACUCUACGGGAGGCAGCAGUGGGGAAUUUUCCGCAAUGGGCGAAAGCCUGACGGAGCAACGCCGCGUGCGGGAUGACGGCCUGUGGGUUGUAAACCGCUUUUCUCAGGGAAGAAUAACUGACGGUACUGAGGAAUCAGCAUCGGCUAACUCCGUGCCAGCAGCCGCGGUAAUACGGAGGAUGCAAGCGUUAUCCGGAAUUAUUGGGCGUAAAGCGUCCGCAGGCGGCUUAUCAAGUCUGCUGUUAAAGGUCGGGGCUUAACUCCGGAUAGGCAGUGGAAACUGAUAGGCUAGAGUGUGGUAGGGGUAGAGGGAAUUCCCAGUGUAGCGGUGAAAUGCGUAGAUAUUGGGAAGAACACCAGUGGCGAAGGCGCUCUACUGGGCCACAACUGACGCUGAGGGACGAAAGCUAGGGGAGCGAAAGGGAUUAGAUACCCCUGUAGUCCUAGCCGUAAACGAUGGACACUAGGUGUUGACCGUAUCGACCCGGUCAGUAUCGUAGUUAACGCGUUAAGUGUCCCGCCUGGGGAGUACGCACGCAAGUGUGAAACUCAAAGGAAUUGACGGGGGCCCGCACAAGCGGUGGAGUAUGUGGUUUAAUUCGAUGCAACGCGAAGAACCUUACCAGGGUUUGACAUCCCGCGAAUCUCCGAGAAAUUGGGGAGUGCCUUCGGGAGCGCGGAGACAGGUGGUGCAUGGCUGUCGUCAGCUCGUGUCGAGAGAUGUUGGGUUAAGUCCCGCAACGAGCGCAACCCUCGUUUUUAGUUGCCAUCAUUAAGUUGGGCACUCUAGAGAGACUGCCGGGGACAACUCGGAGGAAGGUGGGGACGACGUCAAGUCAUCAUGCCCCUUACAUCCUGGGCUACACACGUACUACAAUGCUACGGACAAAGGGCAGCAAGCUCGCGAGAGCAAGCUAAUCUCAUAAACUGUGGCUCAGUUCAGAUCGCAGGCUGCAACUCGCCUGCGUGAAGGAGGAAUCGCUAGUAAUCGCAGGUCAGCAUACUGCGGUGAAUACGUUCC